rnacentral:rRNA from 1 species
UACAGAGGUCUCAAGCGUUGUUCGGAUUCAUUGGGCGUAAAGGGUGCGUAGGCGGCGCGGCAAGUCGGGUGUGAAAUCUCGGAGCUUAACUCCGAAACUGCAUUCGAUACUGCCGUGCUUGAGGACUGGAGAGGAGACUGGAAUUUACGGUGUAGCGGUGAAAUGCGUAGAUAUCGGAAGGAACAUCAGUGGCGAAAGCGGCUUCCUGGACCAGUACCGACGUUCAGGCACGAAAGCGUGGGGAGCAAACAGG